rnacentral:rRNA from 1 species
AAGAAGGAGAAGUCGUAACAAGGUCUCCGUAAGUGAACCUGCGGAAGGAUCAUUG